AGUGAGUUAUUGGCUGAAGAAAUACGUCUUCAAUCUUAUUCUGAAAAGGGAAUUCUUUCUGCUUCAAAUCCUUCAGUACUAGCAAUACACUUUAAGAAAU